UCCUUUCCUUUUAUUUAGUUUUAGUAAUAUUUGUGUAUUUUUGUAUGUGGUUAUUAUGUGCGUGUCAGUAUUAGUUUAGUUUAUUUUUGGUAAUGUUGUGUGUUUUCUUUGUUAUUAUUGUUUGUGUUUAGUUGUUAGUUGUUAGUUUAGUUUAAGUUUUAGCUUAGUUGAUUAGUUUAUGUUUUAGCAUCAGAUUAGUUUAGCGUAAUGAUUAUGUGGGUUGACUUAGUUUAAUUAGUAUGCGUAUAAGGCUUUGCUUAGUUUUUGUGUAGUAUUUACUCAUGUGUUCUGCCAAAAUGCUCAUUAGUUCAUUAAUAGGAUUGUGAUUGGUGUAAAUAUUGCCCAACUGUUGGCCUGAUUAGCUUAAUUCUGCUUCAUAUAUCUCACACUUUGUUUGUUAGUUUGUGUCAAUACUUAACUAAAUAUAUGCUAGAUUAGUUCAAUCACUGGCAUAGUUUAAUUUAAUCACUAUGCAAUGGACAUAGACUAGUCAUUAGCAUUAUAGAACCUGACUUGACUCAACUCAUGACUGAAAGAUGCCUAAUCCCAAGCAUGUUUAAAUAAUGUUCAAUCUUGCUCAGUUUUAUGUGAAAUCAUAGCCUCAAGUUGUUCAUUAGUUUAAAUGUCUUCUUUGUGCUUUAUUUGACUCACAGCAUGGCACUAGUUGAGCCCCCCUCCCUCUCCCUUCGUUGGUUUAGUAUGGUUAUGGUUGGAUUGUGUUUAUGUAUGUUGGUUAAUAUGUUUAACCCUGCUUAGGACUAGUGUAAGACUUUUCUGAAACUUAAUCUGGUCUCAUAUGUUUAUAUGUUAAGAAAUUCUUGGAUUAGGUAGAAAUGUAAAACAUGUAUAUUGUUUUGAAAUGAUGUUGGAGUGCUUCAUUGGAGCUAAUGUGUCUUUGUUUGAAUAACCUGAAUAGUAGUACAUUUGGCAUGAUAUUUGUUUCUGUGUGGUUGUUAUGUUACCAUAUGUUCGAAAUGCUUUAUGUGUCUGUGUGAAUAAGCUGCUAAACCAGUGAAUCUAGUAUCAGUUGUCAGCCUUAUCAUGUCUCUAUUAUGUUCUUUUUUAAAGAGGGAUCUUCAUGAAAACCGAGCCUUAUGACAAUGUUAGGUAGCAUGUAUUAAGUCAUGAACUUGCCAUCUACAUUAUUCAAGUAUCUUUUUAUGUGUGUACUUGUUCAUGAAUGGGGGAAGUGAUUAGACAGGACAUGGCGCAUUUCCUGCUUACCGAGGACAUGACCUUAGAUAGGAGGGUAUGGAGGACUCAUAUUAGGGUAGAAGGCUAGUAAGUAGUUGCGUUUAUCCUUUCUUACGAGUAGCUGUGUUGCUCUAUAGUUUCUUGUCUCUUGAUUUCUGCGAGUAUCUGUUGGUUUAUAAUGGUUUAUAAUGGCUUAUUUACUUUCACUGUUUUCAUUUUCAUAACUGCUUUGAUGUGUUUGCCCGUAUCUGACCUUUCUUAUGCUUUCUCUUGAGCCGAGGGUCUUCCGGAAACAGCCUCCCUACCUAAGGUGGGGGUAAGGUCUGCGUACACCCUCCCCAGACCCCACGUUGUGGGAUUAACUGGGUAUGUUGUUGUUGUUGUUGUUGUUGUUGUACUUGUUCAUGAAUGGUUCAGCCCUUUCUCAAUGUUGGUGUUUGGUUCAAAUUAGCUUGAGCAUCAUUAAACACUUGUUGGUUGCUGAAUAAGUGAAUAUGCAUCUCAUGAACUUGUCAUCUAAUUCUAGCUCAAAUUCUCAGCACGAAACUUGAUUUGUACCCUGACUUAUAACCUCAUGUUAGCACUAGUGAUUAUUCUUGGCUUAUGCAUAUGCAGAACUCAAUUUACUUCACUAUUAGGUUUAAGUCAUUAUGUCUUACCUGCUUGAUGUGAUAUGGACAACCUGAUAACAAUCUAAGUUUCUAUAAAGGUACUGAACUAUGAACCCUGAGCUUAAAUGCUUAUCUGUCUUUAAAGACCAAAUAUGUACCUCUUUGUCAGGGUUGAACUGUUGAAUGUUUGUCCAAGCAUAUGCUUAAACUGAAUAUGUGUGCUAGAUCUAUUUCAUUUGAAUUCUUAUGCAUGUGUCAGGUGUUUGACUAUAAUGAGUAUAUGGUUCAUGUGUUUAUUUGUCACAAAGCAUGUCCAGACAAAGCAUAUGACAGUUGUUAGAAAGGAAUUAUGUUUCAGUAGUUAUAGGUAGCGAAGGUCUAUGUGGCUAAUAGGAUAAAUUUUAAUCUGAGUUAGUUGAACACUAUGGUUGUUAUGGUUUGAGAGUCCAUGAACAUGCUAUAUGCUAUUAAAUACCAUGUGAAUGACCACUAUUUAAAGAAACUACUAAGACUAUGCUUGAGGGUUAGGGUCAAUAGCAUAUUCAAGUUUUUGAAAGAUUAUUGUACAUACAUAUGGUAAUGUGCUAGUCUAAUGGAAUGUUUAGAGUCACUUUUUUUGUCUUUAAUGAGCAUACACAUGUUCAUCAUGCUAAAGAAAUCGAUUAAGACCUUUGUGCUUGUAUUGUCAUAUCUUAUGAAUGAAGGCUGAUGGCCUGAAAAGAUGGGAACCUGGAAAGAUAAAGGGUUGGACUUCUUUAUGCUAAGUUGGACUGAUAGGACUCAUCUACGGUAAAAAUAAAGUUUUCAUGAUCACAUAAGUAUAACAGAAGCUUAAGAGGUUGUCACUUGGAUAAGGUAAGGCAAAGAGUGAUUAUCCUAGGGCUAGGAAGAGAUUAGGAAAGACUUGGAGUUCAUUUACUCAGUCUAGUACUACUGAUCCUAGGCUGUUGGGGUUCCUCUUUGUUGAACCACACUCCUAUGGGACCCUAUAAGGUUUCAAUAAAUGGGAAAAGGGAAAAUACUAUGUAAAACUAAUAUGUUAACAUGAAAUAUUGGGGUCUGUGUGCAAAGAUAGUACUGUACAAGUGUAGUUUUGUUCCUUCUUAGUAUUUCUGUGAUGUGCUCUGCUCUAUUGUUCCUUAUGUAAUGAAAUUAGAUUGAUAUUUCUCUUCAAAGAUAAUCUAGGCUGUGACAUGCCCAUACUGUGCUAUCUUUAUGUUUAAGAUACUUUCCAAGUAGUUUGAAUUCUCUUGUGACUUUUUUUCCAAGUGUAAAAAGAAGAAGUAAUGAGGUAUAAGGGAAAAUUAUGUGAACCACUUUCUCUCUGUCCCCUUUCUUUUUCUAUGUCCCUGGAUUUCUGAAUGGUCUGUUUGAUGAUUUGAUCUUGAAAGAAAAUAUUCCCUUUGGCUGCGCAUAUCCCUUGUCAACCUGAGUGUUUUGUUGAAGCUUUCUUAAGACCUUGAACUGAUUGAAACCAUGCACUUCCUCUGUUUAAAUGCCCUACUUGAAAGUUGAACUUUAAGUGUAAACCAUAUAUGGAUGAAAAUGAACACAGUUCAUGGAGCUUUUAUGUCCUUCCCCUCUCCCCUACAAAUAAACUGAAAUCUGAGCUGCUGUGUCAUUUUGUUUCUAUAAGUAUUGUGAUAGUCCUCAAGGAGUAAAUAUGCUGAAUAUAUUGGUGUAUAUCUUUUGUAUAUGUGCGUAUACAUGUAUGCUUAAGAUUGCUUCAAGAUGAAUGCCAUACCCUUCUUGCUUACACUGCCUCUCUUCUUCUUUUUCCUGCCUGUUUGAUAUUGCUAUGAUGGAGUAUACACUAGAUAAACACAAGAUAUAUGCUCCUUAUAUACCUCGGUAUAUAUUGGGUUGUAUAUCGUGUAUACCCAUGGUAUACGAUGCUAUUGCUUAUAGAUUAGAACUGAUAUCAGCCGAAUUGGGCCUGUCCUUUUAAUGCUAUCUCUAUUGGGCUUUCCUGGCUAUUAUUUGCACACAACUUGCAUUAGGCUUGUUUGUUUAUUUUUUGGUAAAAUUAACAGAAUGACUAUCUUUUGGUAGUUUCCUAUCAUUUAUAGCUACCUUUUAAAAAUUACCAUUUGUAGCUAUGUUUUCCCAAAUUAAGGUAUUUUUUCGGAUGUAUUUGAUGCUUAUAAAUACAUAGUAACACAGUAAAAAAAUAAAACAUAUCCCUUGAUUUAAGGCCAUAACAGUGGGAUCAAUUAAUUAGCUAUUAAUUGGUAUUUUUUACCAUAUCCUUCCACAAAAUUACCUUUCCAUAACCAUGUUCUAUUCCUCCAUCCAAUCUUCAACAUUCAAACAUAAAAAAUAAAAAAUUUGAAAUUUGAAAACAUUCAACAGCCAAUAUAUUUGAAGUUUUCAAUAUUGAUUUCGUUCUUGAUUUACCCAUGUAUUUGAUAGCAUAACUAAUGUAUUUGAAGUUUUCAAUCAAACCCCAUGUAUUUUAUAUUAAAUCUCAUGUAUUUGUGUGAUUAACAAUUUGCAUCACCCAUGUAUUUUAGCGGUAAUGUAUUUGAAGUUUUCAAUAUUGAUUUUGUUUUAAUUUACACAUGUAUUUGAUAGCAUAACCAAUGUAUUUGAAGUUACCAAUCAAACCUCAUGUAUUUUUAUAUUAAAUCUCAUGUAUUUGUGUGAGUAACAAUUUGCAUCAUACAUGUAUUUGAUGGAUUAAUUUGAACAAAAUACACAAAUAUAUAGAAAACUUACAAUGUAUUUUCGUUACUCAUGUAUUUGAAACUAGAUGAACUGAUGAAAUUAAUUUGAACAAAAUACACAAAAAUAUAGAAAAACUUACAUAAAUACACCACCAAUCACAAACAAUUGGUAGCUAUAUCAUAGAACAUACACAAAUACAUAUAUUUUUCAUCUUCUCAAAAUCCUAAAAAAUCCUAGACCACUAAAAAAAUUCUAGCCACAGAGCAAAUGCAACUUGGUCCAAAUUUAUGGGCACUGGUCCACAGCCCAAAAGUCUUGGCAUUUACAGCUACAACUUGCCCACAAUGGGAGAUAAGCCGUCAACCAUAAUGAAUGAUCAUUCUAGUUGGAACGUCAUUCACAUAAAAAAAAAUAGAAAGAUUAAUUGCCUUCUUAUGUUUAAUUUGUCCACAAAGCUUGAAAACAUGGAAACCAAAAAAAAUUUGAGAGGGGUGGCCGCCACCCGUCGUGGUGGUGGUUGAUAGAAGGAGAGAGAAUUUUUUUAGGGAUUUGAGAAAUGAAAAAUCUGAAAUAGGUAGUGAGUGAGAAUAGAAAAUGUCAAAAUUUUAUGAAAAAGGAGAGAAUGAUAAUAUAUAUUAAGUGAUUAAUAUUGUUACCAUUAAAAGGGGGAUAUGAGAUUGGGAGUGCUAAAUUUUAGGUGUAGUGCACCAGUAACUGAAAAUUACUGUGUAGCUAUAUUAGUUAAAUUCAAAAAGUAUUUAGUUAUUAUUAGUAAUUAAAACAAAAGGUAGUUAAUAUCACUAAUUAUGUACUAAAAGUAGCUAUAACACGUAAUUUUUCCUUAUUUUUUCCUUAAGUAUAUUUGGGCCUGUUCUUUCCCAUUUGUUUGGCAUUAAUUCUCCUUACGAUACUUCAAUAGACAUAACUGAAUUAUAUUAGAUAUGUAUAUACUUAUAUAUGUGAUCAUGCUUAAAUGCUUCCCUUUAAGUUCUUGUUAAAUUAGUCAUUAGACAUAGAUGCUCUAUAACCUCAAUUCUCCUUUUCCCCUUUCCCUUUUUGCAUGGAACUUAACCGACAUGGGCUAUUUGGGCCAAAUUCGCACAAGCCACUGUUGGCCCAACAUUGUUUUCUUGCUUCCAUCGAGUCCGAGCAGAAUAUUAAAGGCCCAAUUUGGGAGAAAAUGGUUAACUGGUGGGCUCGGUAGGCCCACCAGUCUUCCCUUCUUUUAUUUUGUUUAUGUAUGUGUUUGAGGAUGUAUUGUAAUGGAUGCUUGUAAUAUUGAAACUCAAUUGGUUAGACUUAGACGAAUUAAGCAAAACGAUAUGUAUAUCGUUUAGAAUGGAUAGGAACCCAAAUAAUUUUCAAACCUGGACCCGACAAAAUAUAAAUAUUGCUUCAAAGAAAUUGACAAAAAUGACAUUUUAAAUCUUUUCUUUACAAAGACUGGAAAACUGGAACCGUGGAGUGUAUUGGCACUAUUUUCUAACUUAGAAUUUUCGGAAAAACUGGCAACAAAACAGUGAGAUUUUUCAGAAGAAAAUGCAAUUCCUUUUCAACUUAAGAAAUUUUCAAAAGAAGAAGAAGAAAAUUUGAUUUGUGAAAAUAAAUGAAAUGGGCUUCAAAAUGAUUUCAAAGUGCCUUAGAAGAUUUUUUAAACAUUUUUUUUCCAAGCCCACUUUAAGUUGAAUAAAACGAGGAAUUCUACUUGGGCCUUAGUUUGAGGAAAAGGUUCAAAAUGGAUAAGGUUGACCUUCACUAAAUUAAUACACUUUGUUAAACCUUAUAAACUUAUGUAUACCACAUGGCUUUUGGCAAAUGAUUUAUACUUGAAAUUAUUUUCAAUGAAAACUUGUAAGGGAAAAGGGACAUACCAUUUGGACUAAAUUAAGUGGAACUCUACUCGAGAGAAAUUAUGGUGUGUUUUGGUCCGAAAAUGAGAUGACCCUGCUAACCUUAUACGCAUUUUUUCAAAAUAAAAAAUAAAAAAAAUAAUAGGAGUUCAACUUCUUUUCUUCAAAAACAAAAUUUUUUGCCUAAUAUUUCAAAAUGAUAUGCAAUGACAAGUUAUACAAGAUUUUAAACUAAUAUAAGCAAAAUAAUUACAAAAUCACACUUGAAGCUCAAAGGUCAACCGUAUUCUACGGAUUCUUAAUAUUAGGGUGUAUUAACGCCUUCCCAGAGGAAUAACCAGAACUCUUAUCUCGAACUCUGGUUUUAAAGGAUUUUUCUCUUGUUUGGAGAAACUCUUUAAAUUUGGUUUUCAUAAUUUCCCUUAUAUAUUAGGCGGCGACUCUAAAAAACAAUAAAUCCAAAACAGUCCACAAAUUCGAAGUAGCUUUUAUGCCUUGCGUAAAAGUGAACCGUAACACCUGUGGUGGAACCUCACAUGAUUAAGCAUGAUUUUGAUCAUUUGGAGGACAUUAGAUACAAGCAAGAAGAUGAAACUUCGGAGAAAAACAUAAAACAAAUAGCAGCUGAAGGGGACAUCUCUCCAAGACAAAUGAGUAAGUUACAGCAAAGUGAAGCAAAGACGAGGGCAUCUAGAAACAGAAGUAUACCUCCCAUAGGAGUACGAACAAGGAGUAUUAAAUCCAAAACUCAAGGUAUACGAUGAUAGACAAAGCCUUAUUUUGGAACAUCAGACCAGUUAACACUCAAGAAUCAUUUGAGAGGUUAACUGAGUUGAACAGAAGACAACAAUAUUCAUACAUAGAUAUAAUGGAACCUUUUUAAGAUGUUCUAAUCGGAAAACAUAUAGAAGGCAACUGGGGUUACAACAUGGUUUGAUUAAUGCAUCAGGUACAAUAUGGAUUUUUUGGGAGGACGAUUGGCAAGGUACAAUGGUGGAGGAUACAGUUCACUCUCACGAUGUAGCAUAAAUGUGUGUAGCAAGAUUUUCUAGUCUCUGCAAUACAUGCAAAAUGUGAUGCUACUGAAAAAUUAAAAUUGUGGGACUCAUUAAAACAUUAGCUGAUAUCAAUUCUAUCCCUUGGAUAGUAGGAGGAGAUUUCAAUGUUAUUAUUUCAGGGGAAGAAGGACUUCCUGUGACAAUCAAUGAAACAGUCGAUUUCUCUAUGUGUAUCACUUCAUGCGGAUUAAUAGAUUUGAGAUUUAUAGACAAACAAAUGCACUUGGUGGAAUGGUAGAACUGAAGAGAACUGUAUAUUCAAAAGACUGGAUAGAAUUCUGUGCAAUCAAGAAUUUUUAGAUCUCCUUCCAUCAAGUGAAGUUUCUCACUCGAUAAGGCAUAGUUCUGAUCAUGCACGCCUACAUUUGGAAUGCAGUGACAAUGAGCAGCCAGCAAUCAGAUCUUUUAAGUUUCUUAACUUCUGGGCUUCUCAUAAAACUUUUAGUGAUGUAGUGGAGCAGAACUGGACAACUGAUUUUACUGGCAAUCUCUGUUAUGUCUAUCAACACAAAAUUAAAAAGGAUUAAAAGUGCUUUAAGUCGGUGGAGUAAAGAUACUUAUGAAAAUAUAUUUCAACAAAUUGCUAUUAAUGAAGAUACUAUUCAACGUAAAGGAGUUGCAGUUUCGGAUUAAUACAUCUAUGUCCAAUAACAGUUAUUCAGAUCACAUGCUGAGCUUACUAGAUACUUGCAUCUGAGGAGAAAUAUUAGAAGCAAAAAUCAGGUAUGAGGUUGUUUAAAGAUUGAGAAAGAAUAGAUUACUCUCUUUUGGUGGAAGAUUCAUACUGAUCUCUCAUGUGCUACAGACCAUGCCCAUCUAUUUGUUAUCAGCUAUGAAUCCACUAAAAGGAGUCAUUAACAACAUACAUCAGAUAUUUGCCAAGUUUUUCUGGAGCAAUACAACAGGAGUAAAAGGCAAACACUGGGUAGCAUGAGACAAACAUUGUUUCCUAAAAUAAGGAGGGUUUAGAUUCAGAUCUCUGCAUGUUACGCCUAAUGCACUCUUUGUUAAGUUAUGGUGGAAUAAUAGGACUUCAAUAAUCUUAUGGAUUCAAUACAUGGUUAACAAGUAUUGCAAGAAGUUAAACCCAGUAAUAGCUACAGGAAGAGGGGGUUCACAUGAUUCAAAGAAGAUAAUUUUACUCAGAGAAGAUGUAUAACACCUGACAGUGGCGGAGCUAGUAAGAGCCAACGGGGUUCAACCCCCUUCGGUGAAAAAUUACACUGUAUAUACAAGGUGAAAAUUAUUUUUUAUGUAUAUAUAGUAUACGUUGAACCCCCUUGUCUUCUUCGGUUGUCUGCUUCUUUAUAUUUUUGAACCCCCUUUAUUAAAAUUUUGGCUCCGCCAUUGACGCCUGAUUUGGUUGAAACUAAGACAAGGAAAUUUCAGUUUUUGAUUUGAAAGCUAGAUGAACCUCGAUGCCUUAUACUUUAUCCUACCUGAAGUACUGAGAGAGGAAGAGAUAGAGGUCACAAUCUUUGUACCAGAUGGAACAUGGAAUACUAAGCUAUUGCAUGAUAGUUUGCCAGAAUAGUUUGUUUAGCAUAUUACAAAAAGGUAAAACCUCCUAUAUAUUCUUGAAGAGGGAAAUGAUACAAUUUUUUGGGCUUUGGGAAAUAUGGAGGAGCAGAUGCAGUGUGAAAUAUGACAAAGACAAACAUGACAUGAGAAGAUCCCUUUCCUUAAUCUCUUUUAAUCUUGCUAACUUUGUGAAUUCUCAUUUUCAGAACAUCAAGAUUGAUGCUAACUGGAAUAACAUAUUGACUGUGAAAGUGAUGAUUCGCUUUCGUAAACAGCAUCUCGAAUCGCAAAGAUGUCACUUGGAUAAUCUCCAGCAGGUAACCUCCAUGAUUGAGUACCAGAGUUGGUUUGAGGCUAUCUCGUGGGGCUUCCGUGAGUCAGUUGUACUUUCACCAUGCCCUGCAUAUAUUUAUCCACAUAGGAGCAAUACAACCACCUAACCUUUGCCACAAUGCUAUGUGAUAAUGAGAUUCUCGAUAAUAAGCAUAACAUGAAAGUUGGCGAUUUGGCACGGAAAAUUUCAGCACCUACUUUGCUCCCUUUAACACCGAUGGAGUCUACCUUCGAGGCUGGGAAAUUCGAGAAAAGAAGGGUAGAAAAGUGCAAGUUGAAGGCUCAAAGAAUGUGGUUCAACAGAAGUUGGUUGCUACCACAAAUAUCGAAGAGGAGUUGGUUCUAGAGGAGUUUUCUCCAAUUGUCUAGGGAUUAUUCACCAUCUUCACAUCUGGUGCUCGCUUCCAUGACAUUCGACCACACAACAAAAUUGAAUUACUAGGGACUAUCCCAUUUUGUAGUUGUGUUGAUAAUUGAUUCGACACAUGGCAAGAUUUUGAAGUUGAUUCAUGUGUGCCUUUAUUUGUUGAAUCUGAAGAGCUAACAUAAAUUUCACAUGAAGGAUCAUGGUUGAUUCCUUUUCAUGGUUGUGAGUCUAUAUUGCUGCAUGAUAAGAACUUCACGAUGGCUAA